GCUCUGCUGGGUCGAAUUGUGCAGAGGCCGGCGUUGUUCCGAACGGCCAUCCCCCGCCAGUACCAACUUCUGAUCAAUCACCGUGAACGAAGUGGAAGCGUUGCACGAGCUGUACAAGAAACUGAGCAGUUCGAUCAUUGAUGAUGGUCUAAUCCACAAGGAGGAGCUUCAGUUGGCACUGUUCCAGACUCCAUCAGGAUUCAGGGGAGAACCUUUUCCUCGACCGGCAAGUCCAAGGAUUAAAUUUGUUCUGCUCAAGGCUAGCUUUUGGGAAACCAUAAGAUCAGGCAAGUCGAAGGAUUAAAUUUGUUCCGCUCAAGGCUAGCUUUUGGGAAACCAUAAGAUCAAGUGCAAAGUUAAUGUAUCAAGAUAACACAUCAAUGGAGGUGGAGGGACAUGAGGAUAUGACUCCGGAAUUGGAGCUUUCUGGCCAUGAAAAUGAAGAAGAGGCGCCCCCUACUACGAGUGCCACGAGUAAGGUACCUGGUUCUCAUCUUCCUCAGGAUAAGAAAUAUACAUCAGAAUGUUGGAGUCAUUAUACAAGAAUCAAUGAUAAGGAUGGAAAACCAAAUCAAGUGAAGUGCAUACAUUGUGGGAGAAUGCUUAAGUAUCAUGUUGCUAACGGUACUUCUGCGAUGAGGAAGCACUUGACCACAUGCAGGAGAUUUCCCCGUAAUGUAAAUAAGAGACAGAAAUUCUUUGCACCACGGAAUGUAGACAUGGCUGGCAAGUUAGGAGGUAAUUCUAAUACUGGUAGUAUCUUAUCAACAUGGUCGUUUAAUCAAGAACGUUGUAGGCAAAUACUUGCUCGGUUCAUCAUCAGUGAUGAGCAACCUUUUUCCUUGGUUGAACGUGUUGGAUUUCGUGAGUUUGUUAGUGAGUUAUAGCCUCUCUUCAAACAUAUAUCACGUUUUACAGUGGCAAAAGAUUGCAUGAAGUUGUAUAUAGAUGAAAGAACUUCUUUGAAGAAUUAUUUUGGACAGAUUAAUUCUAGGAUCGCACUCACGACCGAUACAUGGAGCUCCAUUCAAAAUCUGAAUUAUUUGUGUCUCACUGCACAUUUUAUUGAUGAAAAUUGGAAGUUGCAUAAAAGAAUCAUCAACUUUGUGGUGAUGCAUAGUCACAGGGGUAGGGAGAUUGGGAAAAUGGUGGAGAAAUGCAUUCAAGAGUGGGGAAUUGAGAAAAAGGUGUCCACAAUCACUGUGGAUAAUGCUAGCUCGAAUGAUGUUGCAAUUAAUUAUUUGAGGGAUAAAUUUUCCAAAGAAAAGUCGUUGAUAUUGGAUGGUAGUGUUUUGCACAUGAGGUGCACAGCUCAUAUAUUGAAUUUGAUUGUGAGAGAUGGCUUGACUACGGUACGUGACUCGAUUGCACGUGUUCGGAAUGUGGUUAGGUAUGUAAAGAGUUCUCCCGCAAGAGCCAAUGCAUUUCAGUCUUGCAUUAAGAGUGAAAAUAUCACUUAUAAAGGUUCGGUAGUUCUUGACGUUGCUACUAGAUGGAAUUCCACUUAUCUCAUGUUAGACACCGCCAUCAAGUUCAGAAAAUCUUUUCAAAGAAUGGAAGACGACAAUUUAUCAUUUGCAAGUGAGCUGAAUCAUGAAACUCCUAGUGAUGAUGAUUGGGAAAAUGCUAUUAUUAUUUCAGAUUUUCUAAAAGUAUUCUAUGAUGCCACCAAUCGGAU